GACGAACGCUGGCGGCGUGCUUAACACAUGCAAGUCGAACGAUGAAGCCCAGCUUGCUGGGUGGAUUAGUGGCGAACGGGUGAGUAACACGUGAGUAACCUGCCCUUGACUCUGGGAUAAGCGUUGGAAACGACGUCUAAUACCGGAUACGAGCUUCCACCGCAUGGUGAGUUGCUGGAAAGAAUUUUGGUCAAGGAUGGACUCGCGGCCUAUCAGCUUGUUGGUGAGGUAAUGGCUCACCAAGGCGACGACGGGUAGCCGGCCUGAGAGGGUGACCGGCCACACUGGGACUGAGACACGGCCCAGACUCCUACGGGAGGCAGCAGUGGGGAAUAUUGCACAAUGGGCGAAAGCCUGAUGCAGCAACGCCGCGUGAGGGACGACGGCCUUCGGGUUGUAAACCUCUUUUAGCAGGGAAGAAGCGAAAGUGACGGUACCUGCAGAAAAAGCACCGGCUAACUACGUGCCAGCAGCCGCGGUAAUACGUAGGGUGCAAGCGUUGUCCGGAAUUAUUGGGCGUAAAGAGCUCGUAGGCGGUUUGUCGCGUCUGCUGUGAAAUCCCGAGGCUCAACCUCGGGUCUGCAGUGGGUACGGGCAGACUAGAGUGCGGUAGGGGAGAUUGGAAUUCCUGGU
rnacentral:rRNA from 1 species